UGCGGGAGCCGGUCCAAAACUGGCUGAGAGGACAGCGAUAACGCUGUCGACCGCUGAAACCUGAUCUGGAUAACGCCAGCGAAGGGAAAGACAUA
rnacentral:ncRNA from 1 species